GGUUAAGCGACUAAGCGUACACGGUGGAUGCCCUGGCAGUCAGAGGCGAUGAAGGACGUGCUAAUCUGCGAUAAGCGUCGGUGAGGUGAUAUGAACCGUUAUAACCGGCGAUUUCCGAAUGGGGAAACCCAGUGUGAUUCGUCACACUAUCAUUAACUGAAUCCAUAGGUUAAUGAGGCGAACCGGGGGAACUGAAACAUCUAAGUACCCCGAGGAAAAGAAAUCAACCGAGAUUCCCCCAGUAGCGGCGAGCGAACGGGGAGGAGCCCAGAGCCUGAAUCAGUGUGUGUGUUAGUGGAAGCGUCUGGAAAGGCGUGCGAUACAGGGUGACAGCCCCGUACACAAAAAUGCACAUAUUGUGAGCUCGAUGAGUAGGGCGGGACACGUGGUAUCCUGUCUGAAUAUGGGGGGACCAUCCUCCAAGGCUAAAUACUCCUGACUGACCGAUAGUGAACCAGUACCGUGAGGGAAAGGCGAAAAGAACCCCGGCGAGGGGAGUGAAAAAGAACCUGAAACCGUGUACGUACAAGCAGUGGGAGCCUCUUAAUGGGGUGACUGCGUACCUUUUGUAUAAUGGGUCAGCGACUUAUAUUCUGUAGCAAGGUUAACCGAAUAGGGGAGCCGAAGGGAAACCGAGUCUUAACUGGGCGUUAAGUUGCAGGGUAUAGACCCGAAACCCGGUGAUCUAGCCAUGGGCAGGUUGAAGGUUGGGUAACACUAACUGGAGGACCGAACCGACUAAUGUUGAAAAAUUAGCGGAUGACUUGUGGCUGGGGGUGAAAGGCCAAUCAAACCGGGAGAUAGCUGGUUCUCCCCGAAAGCUAUUUAGGUAGCGCCUCGUGAAUUCAUCUCCGGGGGUAGAGCACUGUUUCGGCAAGGGGGUCAUCCCGACUUACCAACCCGAUGCAAACUGCGAAUACCGGAGAAUGUUAUCACGGGAGACACACGGCGGGUGCUAACGUCCGUCGUGAAGAGGGAAACAACCCAGACCGCCAGCUAAGGUCCCAAAGUCAUGGUUAAGUGGGAAACGAUGUGGGAAGGCCCAGACAGCCAGGAUGUUGGCUUAGAAGCAGCCAUCAUUUAAAGAAAGCGUAAUAGCUCACUGGUCGAGUCGGCCUGCGCGGAAGAUGUAACGGGGCUAAACCAUGCACCGAAGCUGCGGCAGCGACACUAUGUGUUGUUGGGUAGGGGAGCGUUCUGUAAGCCUGUGAAGGUGGCCUGUGAGGGUUGCUGGAGGUAUCAGAAGUGCGAAUGCUGACAUAAGUAACGAUAAAGCGGGUGAAAAACCCGCUCGCCGGAAGACCAAGGGUUCCUGUCCAACGUUAAUCGGGGCAGGGUGAGUCGACCCCUAAGGCGAGGCCGAAAGGCGUAGUCGAUGGGAAACAGGUUAAUAUUCCUGUACUUGGUGUUACUGCGAAGGGGGGACGGAGAAGGCUAUGUUGGCCGGGCGACGGUUGUCCCGGUUUAAGCGUGUAGGCUGGUUUUCCAGGCAAAUCCGGAAAAUCAAGGCUGAGGCGUGAUGACGAGGCACUACGGUGCUGAAGCGACAAAUGCCCUGCUUCCAGGAAAAGCCUCUAAGCAUCAGGUAACAUCAAAUCGUACCCCAAACCGACACAGGUGGUCAGGUAGAGAAUACCAAGGCGCUUGAGAGAACUCGGGUGAAGGAACUAGGCAAAAUGGUGCCGUAACUUCGGGAGAAGGCACGCUGAUAUGUAGGUGAAGCGACUUGCUCGUGGAGCUGAAAUCAGUCGAAGAUACCAGCUGGCUGCAACUGUUUAUUAAAAACACAGCACUGUGCAAACACGAAAGUGGACGUAUACGGUGUGACGCCUGCCCGGUGCCGGAAGGUUAAUUGAUGGGGUUAGCGGUAACGCGAAGCUCUUGAUCGAAGCCCCGGUAAACGGCGGCCGUAACUAUAACGGUCCUAAGGUAGCGAAAUUCCUUGUCGGGUAAGUUCCGACCUGCACGAAUGGCGUAAUGAUGGCCAGGCUGUCUCCACCCGAGACUCAGUGAAAUUGAACUCGCUGUGAAGAUGCAGUGUACCCGCGGCAAGACGGAAAGACCCCGUGAACCUUUACUAUAGCUUGACACUGAACAUUGAGCCUUGAUGUGUAGGAUAGGUGGGAGGCUUUGAAGUGUGGACGCCAGUCUGCAUGGAGCCGACCUUGAAAUACCACCCUUUAAUGUUUGAUGUUCUAACGUGGGCCCCUUACCGGGGUUGCGGACAGUGUCUGGUGGGUAGUUUGACUGGGGCGGUCUCCUCCUAAAGAGUAACGGAGGAGCACGAAGGUUGGCUAAUCCUGGUCGGACAUCAGGAGGUUAGUGCAAUGGCAUAAGCCAGCUUGACUGCGAGCGUGACGGCGCGAGCAGGUGCGAAAGCAGGUCAUAGUGAUCCGGUGGUUCUGAAUGGAAGGGCCAUCGCUCAACGGAUAAAAGGUACUCCGGGGAUAACAGGCUGAUACCGCCCAAGAGUUCAUAUCGACGGCGGUGUUUGGCACCUCGAUGUCGGCUCAUCACAUCCUGGGGCUGAAGUAGGUCCCAAGGGUAUGGCUGUUCGCCAUUUAAAGUGGUACGCGAGCUGGGUUUAGAACGUCGUGAGACAGUUCGGUCCCUAUCUGCCGUGGGCGCUGGAGAACUGAGGGGGGCUGCUCCUAGUACGAGAGGACCGGAGUGGACGCAUCACUGGUGUUCGGGUUGUCAUGCCAAUGGCACUGCCCGGUAGCUAAAUGCGGAAGAGAUAAGUGCUGAAAGCAUCUAAGCACGAAACUUGCCCCGAGAUGAGUUCUCCCUGACUCCUUGAGAGUCCUGAAGGAACGUUGAAGACGACGACGUUGAUAGGCCGGGUGUGUAAGCGCAGCGAUGCGUUGAGCUAACCGGUACUAAUGAACCGUGAGGCUUAACCUU
rnacentral:rRNA from 1 species